UUCUAUCCUUUAACUAUGUUUGUGAAUCUCUCAUAUAUUUGGUUAAUAGUCUUAGUUUCUUUCAUCUUAAAUAGCUCAUAGUCAUGUAUUAGAAGUCCUAUUUUGGAUUCCUUAACUUGGUUUGUUCCCUCAUAGGUUGUUUUUAAGAUAUCCCAAAUUUGUUUAGCAAUUUCACACAUGGAUACUCUAUUGAAUUCACUAGCAUUUAGAGAACAAAUGAGUAUGUUAAAG
rnacentral:lncRNA from 1 species